CGCCAUGGCCACGGUGGCUGAGCCCACCGUGCCCGCAUCCCUAUAAGAACCCCCCCCCUCGGCGUCCACACCUACUCCUCUAGGGUUUCCCCUUCGCCGCCGCAACCCAGGGGUCUUCCCCUUAUCUCUUUUCUCCUUCCCCGUGAGCCCCAAGCGUGGUUGAGAGAACGCUCGUCGUCGUCGCCGUCCCUCCGGUCACAUCCAGCCGCCUUCUUCAAGUCCGUCUCCUUCCCCGUCGUCCUCGGCGUCCGUUACAUCGUCGAGGGAGUCAUCAAGUCUGCGCCUGGCUUCCUCCAUUGUUCCCAUCUUCUUCGCGAUCAGACUUCACACCGAGGUUCAAAGGUCGACUGCGUCGCCGCCGGCUCGUCUCCGCCGACCUUGCCGUGUCCUAGGUGAGCUAGAGCCGGGAGACGAGUUCGUGAUUGAGGAACCCGUUGAGUACGCUUACGAGGAUCAAGCUUACGUCAACUCGGAGAACUUUGCAGAUGCCGAUGAUGCCAGUCUAGGGGAUGCAACCGAACUCAAGUGGGAGUUCGACGAGGAUCCAGGAUGUUACUAUGUUUCCUUUCCAGACGAUCAGUAGUGGAGCCAAGUUGGGGCGAUCGGGGAUCUUAUGCAUUUGGGGUUGUCUUUAUUUUGGUUCCGUAGUCGGACCUUGAUUGUAUUUUGG